CUACGGGAGGCAGCAGUAGGGAAUCUUCCGCAAUGGGCGAAAGCCUGACGGAGCAACGCCGCGUGAGUGAUGAAGGUCUUCGGAUCGUAAAACUCUGUUAUUAGGGAAGAACAUAUGUGUAAGUAACUGUGCACAUCUUGACGGUACCUAAUCAGAAAGCCACGGCUAACUACGUGCCAGCAGCCGCGGUAAUACGUAGGUGGCAAGCGUUAUCCGGAAUUAUUGGGCGUAAAGCGCGCGUAGGCGGUUUUUUAAGUCUGAUGUGAAAGCCCACGGCUCAACCGUGGAGGGUCAUUGGAAACUGGAAAACUUGAGUGCAGAAGAGGAAAGUGGAAUUCCAUGUGUAGCGGUGAAAUGCGCAGAGAUAUGGAGGAACACCAGUGGCGAAGGCGACUUUCUGGUCUGUAACUGACGCUGAUGUGCGAAAGCGUGGGGAUCAAACAGGAUUAGAUACCCUGGUAGUCCACGCCGUAAACGAUGAGUGCUAAGUGUU
rnacentral:rRNA from 1 species